AACAUUCUGGAAAGUAUAACCAUAGAGGGUGAUAGUCCCGUAUGCGAAAAACAAACCUUAGCUAGCAGUAUCCUGAGUAGGGCGGGACACGAGGAAUCCUGUCUGAAUCUGGGUCGACCACGAUCCAACCCUAAAUACUAAUACCAGAUCGAUAGUGCACAAGUACCGUGAGGGAAAGGUGAAAAGAACUGAGGUGAUCAGAGUGAAAUAGAACCUGAAACCAUUUGCUUACAAUCAUUCAGAGCCCUAUGUAGCAAUACAGGGUGAUGGACUGCCUUUUGCAUAAUGAGCCUGCGAGUUGUGGUGUCUGGCAAGGUUAAGCAAACGCGAAGCCGUAGCGAAAGCGAGUCUGAAUAGGGCGCUUAGUCAGAUGCUGCAGACCCGAAACGAAGUGAUCUAUCCAUGAGCAAGUUGAAGCUAGUGUAAGAACUAGUGGAGGACUGAACCCAUAGGCGUUGAAAAGCCCCGGGAUGACUUGUGGAUAGGGGUGAAAGGCCAAUCAAACUUCGUGAUAGCUGGUUCUCUCCGAAAUAUAUUUAGGUAUAGCGUUGUGUCGUAAUAUAAGGGGGUAGAGCACUGAAUGGGCUAGGGCAUACACCAAUGUACCAAACCCUAUCAAACUCCGAAUACCUUAUAUGUAAUCACAGCAGUCAGGCGGCGAGUGAUAAAAUCCGUCGUCAAGAGGGAAACAACCCAG
rnacentral:rRNA from 1 species